rnacentral:lncRNA from 1 species
UUCUCCCAGUGUUCAACAAACUGAGCCAGCCGCAACUGGAUCUCCUCUUGCCCCACAGCAGCCUUGUCUUUCAGCUUCUCUGCCAUAUCCAGCACAUUCUGGAUGGCAGGCUCAUGGGCCACCAGCUCCCCCUCUAGGCGUUUGUGCUUCUUCAGCAAGUUCUGAACCCCCUGAAGAUCUCUCCCAUAGUCCUGGGAGCUCACUCGUAUCAACUUCUCCUCUAUCCAGGAUUCCUCAUCA